rnacentral:misc_RNA from 1 species
AACCUUAUGGACCUGCGGGCGUAUACCUGCGGAAGGAUCAUUACAGAGUUGCAAAACUCCCUAAACCAUUGUGAACGUUACCUAAACCGUUGCUUCGGCGGGCGGCGCGCCCUCGCGCGCGCCCCUGGGCCCCACCGCGGGCGCCCGCCGGAGGUCACCAAACUCUUGAUAUUAAUUGGCCUCUCUGAGUCUUCUGUACUGAAUAAGUCAAAACUUUUAACAACGGAUCUCAGAUCGGAA